rnacentral:misc_RNA from 1 species
AAACUUGUUUUUCAUAGCCGGUACUGGUGAGGAGAUAGGUGAAGUGGAAGAGAUCUUAAAGGAAGAAAAAUAUACUGAAAGGGAGGAAGCUGGGGAUCAGUUGAUCAGUAAUCAGGAGCUAUUUUAUAAAGCAGAGACAUUCAUCGGUAACUUCUACAAGCAAUUGAAGAUACAGAGAGAAGACUCAUGGAAGAGGCUUCAUGAUUUCUAUGACAAAGCAGCUUCUUAAUUAAGGCAAUCCUUGUUCUUUAUUAAUAUGCCAAAUUAAUUUGUACAAUUCUUAGCAUACAUCAUAUCUCUUUUUUUAUUUUUG